rnacentral:lncRNA from 1 species
GAGGAUUGUGUUUGGUGGCAUUUGAUCAUAAUACAAACCAUGACGCAAAUCAUUUCAAUGGGUGGUAAUUAUUAGUUUUGCAUAGAAGAUUGAGCUUCACAGUUACUUUGUACACACUCAUCAGUGGUGCUCUCUCCUAUAGCCAAGUAUUAUGGAGGGUUGUGGAUGGUGGCAUUUGAUCAUGAUACGAACCAUGACACAAAUCAUUUCAAUGGGUGAUG